rnacentral:rRNA from 1 species
UACGUAGGGUGCAAGCGUUAUCCGGAAUUAUUGGGCGUAAAGAGCUCGUAGGCGGUUUGUCGCGUCUGCUGUGAAAACUGGAGGCUCAACCUCCAGCCUGCAGUGGGUACGGGCAAACUAGAGUGCGGUAGGGGAGAUUGGAAUUCCUGGUGUAGCGGUGAAAUGCGCAGAUAUCAGGAGGAACACCGAUGGCGAAGGCAGAUCUCUGGGCCGUAACUGACGCUGAGGAGCGAAAGCAUGGGGAGCGAACAGG